rnacentral:rRNA from 1 species
GUGGUUGGAGGCGUUCCUAGUGGACCAUCUUCGGACGGAAACCUGGGUUCGUUGAAGACUGUCGAGGUUGGCUGUUGAGGCGGUAGGCUAACGCGUGCGGUUGGUCUGAGUAGUGGUGCGGAUUGGUAGCACAUGUGUUGCCGGUUUGUGCUGUUGCUUGGGCCGGUUGUGUGCUCUGCUGCUCGCUCGGUGUCUGGUUGGUCACCCAUCCGACCCGUCUUGAAACACGGACCAAGGAGUUUAAGGUGUACGCGAGUCAAUGGGCCUGGAAAACCCAAAGGCGAAAUGAAAGUGAAAUGCAUAGUGUUUGUGGUGCGAUCGGUUAGUGUUUCGAUGCUGGCCGAGCAGCACCGCUCCGUUCCUGGUACUUGUACUGGUGCGGAAGCUGAGCGUACGCUUUGAGACCCGAAAGAUGGUGAACUAUGCCUGAACAGGAUGAAGCCAGAGGAAACUCUGGUGGAAGUCCGAAGCGGUUCUGACGUGCAAAUCGAUCGUCUGAUCUA